GAAGGGGGCUAGCGUUGUUCGGAAUUACUGGGCGUAAAGGGCGCGUAGGCGGCCUUGUUAGUCGAGUGUGAAAGCCCUGGGCUUAACCCGGGAAGCGCGCUUGAUACUGCAGGGCUUGAGUGUGGGAGAGGUUGGUGGAAUUCCCAGUGUAGAGGUGAAAUUCGUAGAUAUUGGGAAGAACACCGGUGGCGAAGGCGACCAACUGGACCACAACUGACGCUGAGGCGCGAAAGCGUGGGGAGCAAACAGGAUUAGAUACCCUGGUAGUCCACGCCGUAAACGAUGUGUGCUAGACGCUGGAGGACCUAGUCUUUCGGUGUCGCAGCUAACGCUUUAAGCACACCGCCUGGGGAGUACGGCCGCAAGGUUAAA
rnacentral:rRNA from 1 species